rnacentral:rRNA from 1 species
UCCGUAGGCGGGCUAAUAAGUCAGGGGUGAAAUCCCACAGCUCGACUGUGGAACUGCCUUUGAUACUGUUAGUCUUGAGUUAUAUGGAAGUAGAUAGAAUGUGUAGUGUAGCGGUGAAAUGCAUAGAGAUUACACAGAAUACCGAUUGCGAAGGCAGUCUACUACGUAUAUACUGACGCUAAUGGACGAAAGCGUGGGGAGCGAACAGGAUUAGAUACCCUGGUAGUCC